ACCUGCGGAAGGAUCAUUACUGAAUUCAUGACAAGGUUGUAGCUGGCCCUGUCCGGGCAUGUGCACGCCUUGCUCAUUCCAAUUCUACACCUCUGUGCACUUAACAUGGGUUUGGUCGUGGCCUGGUUGCCCCCAAGGGUGACUGAGCUUUGACCCUGCCUGUGGUUCUCUACAAACACAUCUAUAGUAUCAGAAUGUAAACAGCGUAUAAUAACGCAUCUUAUACAACUUUCAGCAACGGAUCUCUUGGCUCUCGCAUCGAUGAAGAACGCAGCGAAAUGCGAUAAGUAAUGUGAAUUGCAGAAUUCAGUGAAUCAUCGAAUCUUUGAACGCACCUUGCGCUCCUUGGUAUUCCGAGGAGCAUGCCUGUUUGAGUGUCAUGGUAUUCUCAAUCCUCUAAAUCUUUGUGGAUUCGGAUGGAUUGGAUGUGGAGGUGAUUGCUGGCAAUCCAUGUCAAUGGCGUGUCGGCUCCUCUGAAAUACAUUAGCAGGAAUAUUGCUUUGUCAACCUCAGUGUGAUAAUUGUCUACGCUGUUGUUGCAUUGCAAAAACUCUUACGUUUCUGCUUCUAAUCGUCUUCGGACAAUUUCUUGACAUCUGACCUCAAAUCAGGUAGGACUACCCGCUGAACUUAAGCAUAUCAAUAAGCGGAGGAAAAGAAACUAACAAGGAUUCCCCUAGUAACUGCGAGUGAAGCGGGAAAAGCUCAAAUUUAAAAUCUGGCAGUCUUUGGCUGUCCGAAUUGUAUUCUGGAGAAGCGUUUUCCGCGCUG
rnacentral:rRNA from 1 species